UUCCAUUGUAGGUUCACUGUGGUUUCUGGGAUCAUUGGCAUGUUGAUGACCAACUUUAGCCAAAAUUCAGCUGUCAGACCGAUGACCUCACAUUUGAUGCUACAAUAAUUUGGUUUACAAAGGAUUUUAAGAUCGACUCAAUGGAUGGAUGCAAGACUCCUAAGUGCUGUGGCUCCAAAGGAAGCCCAGAUCACCUCACUAUCACUUUGCCUAAAGAUGCCACUCUGACAAGAAGAAAUAUUUUACAAAGUGUCAAAAUAGAUGUCAUCAGUAGAAGAAGGUUGCUGCUGUGCGCUCCAACCCCUCCUCCCCCGUCUUUAUUCACUCAUGUAUGAGCCCCUGAAAAUCCAGCCUCUCCCUCUGCUCCGUCGCCUCCCUCUGCGCCUCUCUGUGGCAGAUGGGCACUGUGUGUGACAGCAGGGUCAUUGGGUCACAUCCACAUGGGGAAUGGUGCUGGAUUAUUACUUGAUACCUUCUGAGCAUAUCUGUUCACCUCAGACUACGUCUUUCACUAUCAAGUCUUCAGACACAGAACUGUCUACAUGCAGCAUUUACAGACAAAUUUGCAUAAUUCUGUGAGCACUUAAGUAACUGUGUAAUGUGUUCAUGUUUCUGCAUAAUGUAUUUUAUAGCAUAACAGCAUAAUGUUCCAUUACUUCUGGGAAGCAGUUCACGUGUGGAUUUUCACUUAAACGUGUCUGGAUCAUCAAAUUGUACUUUUAUGUGUUUCU